UGGUGGAGUGAUUUGUCUGGUUAAUUCCGUUAACGAGCGAGAUCGACGCCUUUAAAUAGUUGCAUCAAAAGUCUAAUAUGCAGUGAAGCCAGGGGGGUUAAGUUUGCGGCGAAAGCUGCACUUCUCCCCGGGGGGAUCCGUUGAUGUUUUGAUGUAGUAACUUCUUAAAGGGACUAUCAGUGUUUAACUGAAGGAAGUUGUCGGCAAUAACA
rnacentral:rRNA from 1 species